AUUGAACGCUGGCGGUAUGCUUAACACAUGCAAGUCGAACGGUAACAGGUCUAGCUUGCUAGAUGCUGACGAGUGGCGGACGGGUGAGUAACGCGUAGGAACCUGUCUAUGAGAGUGGGACAACUCGGGGAAACUCGAGCUAAUACCGGCAUACGUUCUGAGGAAGAAAGGCUGGAGUAAUCCAGGUCGCUCAUAGGGGGGCCUGCGUUGGAUUAGCUAGUUGUGGGGUAAAGGCCUACCAAGGCGACGAUCCAUAGCUGUUCUGAGAGGAAGAUCAGCCACACUGGGACUGAGACACGGCCCAGACUCCUACGGGAGGCAGCAGUGGGGAAUAUUGGGACAAUGGGCGCAAGCCUGAUCCAGCAAUACCGCGUGUGUGAAGAAGGCCUGAGGGUUGUAAA
rnacentral:rRNA from 1 species